rfam:Chaetura pelagica isolate M959 contig37496, whole genome shotgun sequence.
GCUGUACAGUGAUGAUAACGUGGCUCCCUCUACUGAUAGUGGUGAGGAAAGCAGCCAGCCGUCACCCAGCACUUCUGAGUACAGC